CUCAUUCCUUUGGUUAUAGUCAUUGUUAUCUUGAAUAUCAGCUGUUCAUGAAUGACAGAGAACCUCCUUAAAAUUUCUCAGGUGUAUUUGUCUGGAUUUGUCUCUACAAUACUGUCCUUUCUACAGCUGGGGCUUAUGAUUCCCAUGGAAAUUGAUCACUAGACACUCACAGCUCCGUUUUACACAUGGUCUUUUUGGGGCAUUGUCCUUGUUGCACCUCGCACCAAUAGUAGGCUAAAGAGGACUUGGUUUCCAAUACUGCAAUAUCGGGGCUCCAUUUCCAGUUCAGUUAUCAAGCUCAGUGAGGUGAGUUAAAAUCAUGUAGAGGAAAGAGAGGUAAUUGAUCGGGGACUUUAGAAUUCUGUGAACCUCAAACAGUCCAGGGUUUGUGAUCUCCAUGGUGAGAGAAAGAUGUUUGAGAAAUGACAACAAUGGCUGCAGAACAGGUGUUAUCAUGGGCUCUUUAAACAAAUGUUUUUAAACUUAGAAAAUAUAUGGAGCAAAUACAUAAUAAGUUCGUAAGAUAAUACAAUAGAGCCCUGUGAAUCCACUUCCUGGAUUUAUAAGAUCUUAAUAUUUUACCCUGUGUGCUUAAGUUCUCUCUUCAAACAGAUCACAUCCCCAUCUUCUUCCCUUCUCAGUAGUGACCCAUCUCCUCUGGUUGGUAUGUAUUACUCCUCAACCAUUUUUUUUUUCUUUUAACUACAUUUCCACAUAUCCAAAAUUAAGAUACGAUAUUAUUUUGUGCCUUUUGAAAAUUUACAUAAUGUUGUUCUAUUGUAUGUAUCCUUUUUGCAAUUUGCCAGUGGUGCCUUUUAAUGCAAAUGCAAUUAGAACAAUUCAGCCCUGGUGUAAGCCAGAAGGAAAUCCUUCUUUCCAGGUGUUUGGAGUUGCCUUAGCAGCUGCUCCAACUGUCCCAGCUAAUCAUUCUUCACAGUGUUCCUGACAUUCAUCUUGGUUUCCUAUUUAUCACUUUGGCUCAUGGUUAAGUGCAUUUAUACAGUAUCUUUAAAAAUCUUCGACCCUUGAUCCACACCCUCAUCUUGCUUAUUGAGUGGUUAUAAACUUAUUCCAAGGAAACAAGAGGUCAUAAAAUCAGAGCAGAAGAUGAAAACCCAUACCUAGGUUUUUGUUCUAUUUUGCUUUGUUUUGCUCUCUUUUUACAGGAUAGUGGAUUCUUUGAUUUUUCUUCUUUGCUAAGUCGGAGACUUUUGCCGGGCUCCUAACCUUCCCAUUCCUACAUAUCUGAGAAUGGCCUUGCCCUCUCUAGAGAGGACAUUGGGGAGCCCCAGCACUAAAAAAAUUAUUUCUUGUAAUAGUAACCGAUUAAACUAGUUACCAGCUGGGGAGCAUGUUUUAGCACUUAAGUUAAUUGAACUGUUGCAAACUAAAUAUGAUUCUAAAUUGUUUCAGUAUUCCAAAGUACUUCA
rnacentral:lncRNA from 1 species